rnacentral:sRNA from 1 species
GGUAUGUGGGGCCCAGCCCCAAGCUUGGCACCGCCGUCUUCCUUCAGGUGGGCCGGGUCCUCCUAGGGAAGAUCAGGGGCUGGCAGAGCCCCCACCCUGGGCAGGGAGGCUGUGGUCUUGUUCCUAGGACUGGGUUGCGGGUCCGUGGCCUGGAAGGUGGGCGCCACGCUCUGUCCUGUCCCCGAAGCCCAGCUCUUAGACCUGCCCCUGCCUCGGUGCCAGGGAGAGAGCUGCUGCCUUCUCACCACCCCUGAAGACGACGCAGGGCUCGGGGCCAGUGGAACCCUCCUUCCCACAGCCCCAGCCUGUUCUCAGGGCCGCUGGCCUAAGAUACUCCCUGCGGGGAAGGGGCUUCAUCGGGCACCCCAAGCCAGAGACCCCAGGGCAGCAGCCCCACCCACAGCCUCAGACGCAGCCCCUGCCUGCCCCUGCUGUCACCGCUCCCUGGCUGCAGGAAGGCAGCUAAGAGGGGCACCCUUGUCCCCCACUUGAGGUCCCCUGCACAGUGGCCAGAGCGGCAGGGACAGAUCCCAAAGACUCCCAGGGGGGUGUGGCCUUCAAUGGCUCAGGCGUCCCCUGCUGUCCUGGCUGCAGUGACCUGGGAGCCGACACCCUCGCUGAGGUUCCAGGAGCCCCCGCCUGGAGGAGCUGGCCCCCCAGAGCUGGCGCUGCUGGUGCUGUACCCUGGGCCUGGCCCUGAGGUCACUGUGACGAGGGCUGGGCUGCCGGGUGCCCAGGUACCAGGGAGUUGCAUGGGGCAGUGCCCGGGCUGCGGCGGGGGGCAUGGAUUUGUUGCAGGGUCUGCAGUACUGAGAACAGCGUAGAACCAGUGGCGAUGGGAGGAAGGGGACCGGUAGAGCGGGGCUGGGUAAGCCUCCAUCCAGCCGGGCUGAGCCCUGGUCUCCGCAGAGCCUCUGCCCGUCCCGGGACACCCGCUACCUGGUGUUAGCGGUGGACCGCCCUGCGGGGGCCUGGCGCGGCUCCGGGCUGGCCUUGACCCUGCAGCCCCGCGGAGAGGGCUCUCGGCUGAGUACCGCCCGGCUGCAGGCACUGCUGUUCGGCGACGACCACCGCUGCUUCACACGGAUGACCCCGGCCCUGCUCCUGCUGCCGCGGUCCGAGCCCGCGCCGCUGCCUGCGCACGGCCAGCUGGACACCGUGCCCUUCCCGCCGCCCAGGCCAUCCGCGGAACUCGAGGAGUCGCCACCCAGCGCAGACCCCUUCCUGGAGACGCUCACGCGCCUGGUGCGGGCGCUGCGGGGCCCCCCGGCCCGGGCCUCCGCGCCGCGCCUGGCCCUGGAUCCGGACGCGCUGGCCGGCUUCCCGCAGGGCCUAGUCAACCUGUCGGACCCCGCGGCGCUGGAGCGCCUACUCGAUGGCGAGGAGCCGCUGCUGCUGCUGCUGAGGCCCACUGCGGCCACCACCGGGGAUCCUGCGCCCCUGCACGACCCCACGUCGGCGCCGUGGGCCACGGCCCUGGCGCGCCGCGUGGCUGCCGAACUGCAAGCGGCGGCUGCCGAGCUGCGAAGCCUCCCGGGUCUGCCUCCGGCCGCAGCCCCGCUGCUGGCGCGCCUGCUCGCGCUCUGCCCAGGUGGCCCCGGCGGCCUCGGCGAUCCCCUGCGAGCGCUGCUGCUCCUGAAGGCGCUGCAGGGCCUGCGCGUGGAGUGGCGCGGGCGGGAUCCGCGCG